UUGGCUGACACGUUGGUCUCUACUACGCUCGCACCGCUGGUUAUAACUUGGCGCAAAAUGUCUCGACUUAUUUUCGCGCCAUAGUCCAAGCAGCCAAUCACAGCUUUCCAUUUCUGAAGUUCACUGGGAGCCUGGUGAAGCUUAUAAAACAAGGUUUCUCAGAAAAAAUAUUCGUCUUAGGCUUUUAGUUCUUUUAAGAGCUAAGUCUCUGACCACACAGAGAAUACUCGACCAAGUUCCAGUUUCGAGGCAAGCGACCACCAUUAAUACAAGAUGUUACAGAUACCUCUCAUACUGUCAGUGUGAAAAAUCACCAUGAAGAAAACGGUUACAAGAUAUCUAUAACUAGAGAAACAUAACCAAGCAGAACA